UAUGAAACAUUUAUAAUAGGAGGAUGAGGGUGUCCCCUGUGUAUGGGUGCUUGAUCGGCAUGCUGGAAAGGAAAAUGGAGGAACUGGGAAUAAGUAUGCAAAUUUAGAGGAAUGGGGGUUUGCUUCUGAACUGUGAUCCUCAAGAUAUCAUGUUCAGAUUGUUAAUGCUGAUUGUUUUCGAAAUGUUGUCGUAUAAUAGACUUAAGGGGUUUUCUUGGAAGCAUUCUUGUGUUUAUGCAUCAAACGUUUUACACUGGCAUGCUUGUGUUUAUGCAUCUCUUCUGAUUGAGAUGUAUCGCUACGAACUUCUUGCUCUUAUAUGACAAGGGUAUAACGAUAUAAUCUAACAACUUGAUGUUCCUUUCACCCUCCUCCAUGGCCAUGCUGUAUGUUUUAGUUGGCAUUCAAUCUGUUUUUCUGGAAGAGUUCUUAUCAUUUUGACUUUUUCUUUCCGCGCGAUAAUCAUCUGACCUCGUUCUACAACCAGAUGUCUUUUCACUUGUUUUGAUCUUGUCACUGUUAAUUAUCGCCAUCCUUAUUAUUGGUCUGCUUUGCUUGGAACAGCGAUGCCAUGUGAAGACGGGGAAGGCCUUGGAUCAAAGAAGAGCGAACUGCGGCUGGUGGUGCGGUAGCCAAAACCCCUCGUCUUAGAGAAGCGAUUGCAUUAUCUAUUAGUUGUGUUUUGAGUCGGAGACAAGUUAUUGCUUGGUAAUGGAUUGGUAUGGUGGAUAAAACUGGAUCGGGUGCUCUAUUAUUGUUCCGAAUAGACAUGUAUGUUUGUUUAGAACAAGUUGUGUAUUUUUUUUUUUUACUUUCCAGUGUGUUGUCCAUUGCAAAACCUGUGCUCGACUCCGUUAGCAACGUGCCUGUGGUAUCGAUCUGCUGAUCAUAUUGAGGCAUUAGCAUUUGUUGCCAGGAGUAAGAAUAAGACAUUUAUUUUGAACAGUCAUCUAUAUGUUUGUGUUGCCCGUUGAGUAACAAGAAGAUACUUAUGGAAUUACAGAAGCACAACAUCAAUAUUGAAUGACCGUCAAGAAGAUAGUUAUAGAUUACAUGGUUGUAAUCCUUUGUCGUUCUUUACUAGAUGGUGUCUAUAUAUAAGCCCCCCCUGUUUUUCAAAACAGAAAAAGAUUUUGAUCUGGACACUGAAUUUCUGUUACCUUGUUGCAUAACAGAACGUCUUGCUUUAUUAUCAUAUUGGAUUUGUUAUUUAUCUCGAUCAGCUGAGAAUUAACUAAAUCUCAAUCAAUUCC
rnacentral:lncRNA from 1 species